GGCCUUAUAGCUUAGUAGUAGAGCGCUCCUCUAGCUAAAGAGAAGAUCUAGGUUUGAAUCUAGGUGAGGUUG